AGCUCCAAUAGCGUAUAUUAAAGUUGUUGCGGUUAAAAAGCUCGUAGUUGGAUCUCAGCUCACGCUAAGUGGUCCACCUCAUGGUGGUUACUACUUAGCUGAGCAUUUUACAGAUUUGUCUCUUGAUGCUCUUCACCGAGUGUCAAGAGUGGUCUGUACGUUUACUUUGAAAAAAUUAGAGUGCUUAAAGCAGGCAACUCGCCCGAAUAAUCUUGCAUGGAAUAAUGGAAUAGGACCUUGGUUCUAUUUUGUUGGUCUCCGGAAUCUGAGGUAAUGAUUAAGAGGGACAGACGGGGGCAUUCGUAUUGCGCCGCUAGAGGUGAAAUUCUUGGACCGGCGCAAGACGAACUACAGCGAAAGCAUUUGCCAAGAAUGUUUUCA
rnacentral:rRNA from 1 species